GACGAACGCUGGCGGCGUGCUUAACACAUGCAAGUCGAACGGUAAACCUCUUCGUUGCUGGGCAAUUCCGGACGCGUACGUGACACUAAGACAACGUGGCCCCGCCUCGCAGAUAGGUCCAAGCCAUGGGAACUGGUUCCAGUAUUGCACCGCUUCGCGCAUUGGUGUUUGUGGUGGAAAGUUUCUGGGUGGGGGGUGCGCCCGCGGCCUAUCAGCUUGUUGGUGGGGUAAUGGCACACCAAGGCGGCGACGGGUAGCCGGCCUGAGGGGGUGAACGGCCACACUGGGACUGAGACACGGCCCAGACUCCUACGGGAGGCAGCAGUGGGGAAUAUUGCACAAUGGGCGCAAGCCUGAUGCAGCGACGCCGCGUGGGGGAUGACGGCCUUCGGGUUGUAAACCCCUUUCAGCAGGGACGAAGCGUUUGUGACGGUACCUGCAUAAGAAGCACCGGCUAACUACGUG
rnacentral:rRNA from 1 species